rfam:Alligator sinensis unplaced genomic scaffold scaffold391_1, whole genome shotgun sequence
AUUACUGCUACCAAACCCUGCUCAGAAUGAGAGGAACUGCAGGUUUAGUCAUUUGGUAUAUCUGCUUGACUAAAGAGCCAGUAGUAUGAAGCUACCAUUUGUGGGAUUGUGACUGAAUGCCUCUAAGUCAUAAUCCCCUCUAAAUAUAACAAUACUCCAGUGCCGUGGAGUGUUGGUUGGUCCCAGACAGAGAUGACUGUAGGGGGGUGCAGGCCCCAGGGCAAAUCAGCCUGUGCGAGUCCCCUUUAACACUGCAAGAGACAGGGCUGCGGCCACUCCGCCUAGCUCCUGCCCAGCUCCGCAGGGCCCCCCAAAACACAGGGCCCAGGGCAGUUGCCCCAAUUUCCUCUCCACCCCCCCACAAAGGAUGGCCCUAAUCUCAGAUAUUUGGUCACCCCCCAUGAGGGGGUAGGCAGAGCUCUUUCUUUUGGGACCAAAGCACAGACAGAAGAGAGCCACCUCUCACUGCAUGUUCAUGGGGAACCUGGUGCUAAAUCAUUAGAUGACCCAAGUCUGGGUCCGGGCUUUUUAUGUAGCACAGUAGCUACCUCACUGCAAUUUAUUAAAAGUCAGCCCUUGACACAAGCUUU